rnacentral:rRNA from 1 species
UACGUAGGGGCAAGCGUUGUUCGGAAUUACUGGGCGUAAAGCGCGCGUAGGCGGUUUGAAAAGUCAGAUGUGAAAGCCCCGGGCUCAACUUGGGAACUGCAUUUGUGACUGCAUAGCUAGAGUGCGGCAGAGGGAGAUGGAAUUCCGCGUGUAGCAGUGAAAUGCGUAGAUAUGCGGAGGAACACCGAUGGCGAAGGCAAUCUCCUGGCCUGCACUGACGCUCAUGCACGAAAGCGUGGGAGCAACAGG